rnacentral:piRNA from 1 species
UGGGAAUUCUAACACGUGUCUGAGAGGG